rnacentral:pre_miRNA from 1 species
UAUAUUUUUUUUACUAUUCGUCUUAUCCAAAUUUUUUUUGCGAUUGAUAUUUUUGUUUUUGUUAGAUGAUAAUCAUAAAUAGUACUUUACGUGUGACUAAUUUUUUGAAAAUUUUUUGAAAAUUUUUUAAAUAAGACAGAUGGUUAAAUAUUGGACACGAAAACUGAAG